UCUGGGAGAGGGAUGAGCCACUGGAGCUGCAGUGUAAAACUUAUCCUGCUUGGAAAAGUGUGUCUGGGACAGGAACUAUUUGCUGAACAGUUACCUCUGUGCCUGGGGAAUAUUUAUCCAUAGAGGUGGAUUUCCUAGUAGCAAGGACCAGCUACUGUAUGCUGCCAUACAGACUGUGGGAUUGAAGUGCAGGCGCUUCUGUGAAAGCACAGGAAGUCUACAAAAUACUGCACAUAUUAAAGCCAUGCACAUUGUGAUUGCAGUUUGAGUGAUGUCUUUUCCAAGAAUCAUCCAUCUACAGAGAAAACCUAUGGGGAAAUUUGACCUUUCAUAUAACCAGGAGUUCUUGAUAUUUACACAUACAGGUAGG